rnacentral:misc_RNA from 1 species
GUUGGUGAACCAGCGGAGGGAUCAUUAAAGAGUUGAAAAACUCCCACACCAUUGUGAACGUACCACGUAUCGUUGCUUCGGCAGGCGGCUCUGGAUUUCCAGCGCCGUAGCUCCCUCGGGGGUGUCUGCCGGAGGACGCCAAACUCUUUAUUAUUAUAGUUUCUCUGAGUAAUAUACAAAUAAGUUAAAACUUUCAACAACGGAUCUCUUGGUUCUGGCAUCGAUGAAGAACGCAGCAUCUGACUGACUU